ACUUCUACUGAUUUACCAUGGAGACUGUUCCAUCCGCUGUGGGAGCUGCAAUGCACAGGGAGACAAGAGGCUGCAGAGGGUUGUAAACAGCCAACUCCAUCGAAAACAUCUUCAACAGGCAGCGCCUCAGGAAUUUGAACACACACACUCACAAAUAUUUAUUGUUCCUAUAAGGACUACAAACAUUGCAUUUACUAAGCUUGAAACACUUUGGGGCAAGUUCUUCAUGACACCAGCAACACCCACCUGUGAAAAACUGGAUGAAGUUCUUGCACUUGGAUGGAUUUCGGAUCAGCAGGGUGUACGAGCUGCCUGCACCGUCGAACUCCAUGCCAAUACUCUGGGUGCGCAGACCCACUUGCAGAUGCCACUUGAUUUGCUGAGUUCCUCCAGCAGCGGUGACUCAGGUUUAAUUCUUGCUGUUCUACGCUCUCCCUGUGACUACCUUGGGCUUCCUUGAGGUGCUCCAGUUUCCUCCAACGCUCCAAGGGCAUACAGGUUAGGAGGCUAAUCGGUCACGUGAGUGUAAUUGGGCUGCACUGGUCUGGAAGGGCCUGUUGUCGUGCUGUAUCUCUAAAUAAAUAAAAUAGAUUCCAUCAUCUGCAGUCUCUGUGUCCCCAAAUACAGAGCCUUGGUGCACAAUAUAUUGUCACUAACACUGUUUAUGUACAGUAAAAUGCCUUUUAUAAAGCAUUCACUAAUCUGCAAACUGAGUUUGACAGUGUUCACACAGCAGCGACUCAGAAGGCCUGUACCUAAUAAAGUGACCACUGCAGGUAGGUUACGCCAUACUAUCCUGAGAUCCAUUUUAUAUCAGGCAUUUGUAGGAUGGAAAUAUGAUAGAAUUUAUGAAAAACUAUACAUAAACAAAGACUGACAAAUAACCAAUGUGCAAAUUUAAAAAAAAGUACUGAGAGCCUUAGUUAUAAAGAGUUCUUGAAAGUGAGUCUGUAGGUUGUAGAAUCAGUUCGGAGUCACGGUGAGUGAAGUUAUGCACACUGGUUCAGGAGCCUGAUGGCUGCAGGAUAAUAACUGUUCCUGAACCUGGUGGUGUGGGACCUAAGGCUGCUGUAGUUUCUGACCGAUGGUAGCAGUGAGAUGCUGAGCAUGUGGAUGGUGGGGUCUUUGACAAUGGAUGCUGCUUUCUUGUGGCCGUGCUUCUAGUAGAUGUGUUUAAUGGUGGGGAGGGCUUUGCCUGUGAUGGACAGGGCUGUAUCCAACACCUUCUGUACAUUUCAGUUCCUGGGCAUUGGUGUUUACCUACCACGCUGUGAUGCAAGCAGCCAGAUACUCGCCUCAGAAAUUUGUCAAACUUUUUGAUGACAUGUUGAAUCUAUGGAAACUUCUAAGAAGGUAGAGGUGCUGUUGUGCCUUCUUUGUGAUUGCACUUAUGUGCUAACACAAUAUAAUAAUAAAAAUACUUUAUUGAUCCCAAGACACACAUAGCAAAUGUGUAGACUUAACUAAUAAAGACAGAAUAAUAAUAUACACAAUAUUAAUUUACCAAUGUGCAAUAACAAUAUACGAAAUAAUAAAACAGACCAUUGUCUCCUGAUGUGUGUUCUCCUGUUGCACAGGGAUGAGCUGUUGUAUAUGCUUACUGCAUUUGGUAGGAAAGAUUUUCUGUAACGGCCCUUGUGACAGUGGAGCUGAAUGAGUCUGUUGAAAAGGGUGCCUUUCUGCUUAUUCAGUAGGUCAUGAAGAGGAUGUGCCAGAUUGUCCAUAAUGGACAUCGGUUUGUUUAGUGACCUCCUCUUCACCACUAACUCGAAAGAGUCCUGGUUGUGGCCAAGGAUGGAUCCAGCCUUUUUGAUGAGUUGAUUUAGUCUUUUUGCAUCACCAGCACUGAUGCUGCUCCCCCACAAAGACUGCACUCGCUAGAACAGACUGGUGAAAGAUCUCCAACAUCCUGCUGCACACAUUGAAGGACCUCAGCUCCCUUAGAAAAUAGUCUGCUCAUCCCCUUCGGAUAAACAGCCUUGUUUUUGGUUUUCCGUUCAAGUCAAGGUGAACACCCAAGUAUUUGUACUUGUCCACCACUGCAACUACUUCUACCAGAAUAUUUACAGGAUUUGUCAAAGUCUUUUUCCUCCUAAAAUCUAUCACCAAAUCCCUGGUUUUGGCCAUAUUCAGGAGCAGGUGAUUCUUCACAAACUUCUCCACCAGUCCUCUGUACUC